rnacentral:rRNA from 1 species
UGGGGAAUAUUGCACAAUGGGGGAAACCCUGAUGCAGCAACGCCGCGUGAAGGAUGAAGGCCUUAGGGUUGUAAACUUCUUUUGUCAGGGAAGAUAAUGACUGUACCUGAAGAAUAAGCAUUGGCUAACUUCGUGCCAGCAGCCGCGGUAAUACGAAGGAUGCUAGCGCUACUCGGAAUUAUUGGGCGUAAAGAAUGCGUAGGCGGACUUGCAAGUUGAUGGUGAAAUUCCUGGGCUUAACCCGGGCGCUGCUGUCAAAACUGCAUGCCUUGAAUAUAUCAGGGAGUGGGGGAAUUUCUAGUGUAGGGGUAAAAUCCGUAGAUAUUAGAAGGAACACCGGAGGCGAAAGCGCCUACUUGGGAUAUUAUUGACGCUGAUGCAUGAAAGCGUGGGGAGCAAA